UACGUAGGGGGCAAGCGUUGUCCGGAUUUAUUGGGCGUAAAGAGCGUGUAGGCGGCCAGACAGGUCCGUUGUGAAAACUCGAGGCUCAACCUCGAGAUGUCGAUGGAAACCGUCUGGCUAGAGUCCGGAAGAGGAGUGUGGAAUUCCUGGUGUAGCGGUGAAAUGCGCAGAUAUCAGGAAGAACACCUAUGGCGAAGGCGGUUCUCUGGGACGGUACUGACGCUGAGACGCGAAAGCGUGGGGAGCGAACAGG
rnacentral:rRNA from 1 species